rnacentral:rRNA from 1 species
UAGAGUUUGGAUCAUGGCUCAGAUUGAACGCUGGCGGCAGGCCUAACACAUGCAAGUCGAGCGGUAACAGGAAGAAAGCUUGCUUUCUUUGCUGACGAGCGGCGGACGGGUGAGUAAUGCCUGGGAAAUUGCCCUGAUGUGGGGGAUAACCAUUGGAAACGAUGGCUAAUACCGCAUGAUGCCUACGGGCCAAAGAGGGGGACCUUCGGGCCUCUCGCGUCAGGAUAUGCCCAGGUGGGAUUAGCUAGUUGGUGAGGUAAUGGCUCACCAAGGCGACGAUCCCUAGCUGGUCUGAGAGGAUGAUCAGCCACACUGGAACUGAGACACGGUCCAGACUCCUACGGGAGGCAGCAGUGGGGAAUAUUGCACAAUGGGCGCAAGCCUGAUGCAGCCAUGCCGCGUGUAUGAAGAAGGCCUUCGGGUUGUAAAGUACUUUCAGUGGUGAGGAAGGGAGUGUGGUUAAUAGCCAUAUUCUUGACGUAGCCACAGAAGAGCCG